rnacentral:rRNA from 1 species
GUCGACGAUUCACGUGUAGCAGUGAAAUGCAUAGAUAUUCCUCAGAACACCGAUAGCGAAGGCAGCUCACUAGGAUACAACUGACGCUGAGGCACGAAAGCGUGGGUAGCAAACAGGAUUAGAUACCCUGGUAGUCCACGCCGUAAACGAUGAUCACUAGUUGUUGGCGAUACACAGUCAGUGACCAAGCGAAAGCGAUAAGUGAUCCACCUGGGGAGUACGUCGGCAACGAUGAAACUCAAAGGAAUUGACGGGGGCCCGCACAAGCGGAGGAGCAUGUGGUUUAAUUCGAUGAUACGCGAGGAACCUUACCUAGGCUACAAUGCCUGUGACAGCUCUGGAAACAGAGUUUUCCUUCGGGACACAGUGCAAGGUGCUGCAUGGCUGUCGUCAGCU